CCUACGGGAGGCUGCAGUGAGGAAUAUUGGUCAAUGGACGCUAGUCUGAACCAGCCAAGUAGCGUGAAGGAUGACUGCCCUAUGAGUUGUAAACUUCUUUUGUAUGGGGAUAAAUUGCAGUAUGUAUACUGCGUUGAAUGUACCUUAUGAAUAAGGAUCGGCUAACUCCGUGCCAGCAGCCGCGGUAAUACGGAGGAUCCGAGCGUUAUCCGGAUUUAUUGGGUUUAAAGGGAGCGUAGGCGGGUUGUUAAGUUAGAGGUGAAAGUUUGCGGCUCAACCGUAGAAUUGCAGUUGAUACUGGCAGGCUUGAGUAUAGUAGAGGUAGGCGGAAUGUGUGGUGUAGCGGUGAAAUGCUUAGAGAUCACGAAGAACUCCGAUUGCGAAGGCAGCCUACUAAACUGCGACUGACGCUGAUGCACGAAAGUGUGGGUAGCAAACAGGAUUAGAUACCCCGGUAGUC
rnacentral:rRNA from 1 species